rnacentral:rRNA from 1 species
AGCAGCCGCGGUAAUUCCACGCUCCAAUAGCGUAUAUUAAAGUUGUUGCAGUUAAAAAGCUCGUAGUUGAAUUUCGGGAUUAGUAGGUUGGUCGUGCCUCUGGUAUGUACUCGCCUUACUGAUUCCUCCUUCUUGAAGAACUGUAAUGCCAUUAAUUUGGUGUUGCAGGGAAACAGGACUGUUACUUUGAAAAAAAUUAGAGUGUUUAAAGCAGGCCAUUGCCUGAAUACAUUAGCAUGGAAUAAUGAAAUAGGACGUUGAUCCUAUUUUGUUGGUUUCUAGGAUUGACGUAAUGAUUAAUAGGGAUAGUUGGGGGCAUUAGUAUUCAAUUGUCAGAGGUGAAAUUCAUGGAUUUAUUGAAGACUAACUACUGCGAAAGCAUUUGCCAAGGAUGUUUUCAUUAAUCAAGAACGAAAGUUAGGGGAUCGAAGACGAUCAGAUACCGUCGUAGUCUUAACCAUAAACUAUGCCGACUAGGGAUCGGAUGAUGUUAAUUUUUUAAAUUGACUCAUUCGGCGCC